ACGUCUACAUCACUUUGAAAACUUAGAUUUCAGUACGAUCACCGAAGUUAAGCCACUUUGAGCCUGGUCUGUACCCAGAUGGGUGACCGCUUGCGAAUAUCAGGUGCUGUAU